GACGAACGCUGGCGGCGCGCUUAACACAUGCAAGUCGAACGGAAAGGCCCUGCUUUUGUGGGGUGCUCGAGUGGCGAACGGGUGAGUAACACGUGAGUAACCUGCCCUUGACUUUGGGAUAACUUCAGGAACCUGGGGCUAAUACCGGAUAGGUGCUCCUGCUGCAUGGCGGGGGGUGGAAAGUUUCGGCGGUUGGGGAUGGACUCGCGGGGGUUCAGUUUGUUGGUGGGGUAGUGGCUUACCAAGGCUUUGACGGGUAGCCGGCCUGACAGGGUGACCGGCCAGACUGGGACGGAGAUACGGCCCGGACUGAUACGGGAGGCAGGAGUGAGUGAGGAUGCAUGAUGGACGGGGGACAGAUGGAGGAAGGGAGGGUGCGGGAUGACGGAAUGCGGGUUGUAAGCCGCUUUCGCCUGUGACGGAACGUGAGUGACGGUAAUGGGUAAAGAAGCACCGGCUAACUACGUG
rnacentral:rRNA from 1 species